rnacentral:rRNA from 1 species
UACGUAGGGUGCGAGCGUUGUCCGGAAUUACUGGGCGUAAAGGGCUCGUAGGCGGCCAACUAAGUCAGACGUGAAAUCCCCAGGCUUAACCUGGGAACUGCGUCUGAUACUGGAUGGCUUGAAUUCGGGAGAGGGAUGCAGAAUUCCAGGUGUAGCGGUGAAAUGCGUAGAUAUCUGGAGGAAUACCGGUGGCGAAGGCGGCAUCCUGGACCGAGAUUGACGCUGAUGAGCGAAAGCUAGGGGAGCAAACGGG